UUAUUUAGUUCAAUAGAAGGAAAGGUGAUGAAUAUUAAUUUUUAUAUUGUAGAGGGAGGCUAUAUUAUAAAAAUUAAUAAAAAAUUCAUUCAUUGUACCUUUUGUAUCAGGGUUUAUUUACAUUUAGAUUUAAGAAUUUUUUCUCGACAAUUGAAGAUUUAAAUGGUUAAAGUUUUUGUGUUUCAUUAUUUAAGCUUGAUAAUUAUUUAGUUUUGAAAAAAAAUCAGAUUUUUUUUAUCUAGUUACUUUUCGAUUGAUUUAAUUAGUUUUAUUUGGGCAAUUAAUUGUUAUAAUAGAAAAUGUUCUUAGGGAUAAUCUUGAGAUAAAAUUUUUAGCUUUGUUCGAAAUAAUAAUUUUAUAAGUUUAGAGUUAGCAAUUUUUUUAAUAUUCAAAAAUUACUUUAAUUUUUUUUUAAUUAUUUAAAAGUAGCUUUAAGGGGAGGUAAAGUUGCUUAAUUUAAUUAAAAAAUUAUGAGAAUAAUGAUGAAAUUAGUAGAAUAAAAAGUGUAGUUUAAGAAUUCGGCAAAACUAAUUUUUGACUGUUUAACAAAAACAUUUCUGAGGGGAAGAUGUUUUUGGUUUGACCUGCUCAAUGCUUUAGUAAAUAGCUGCAGUAUUUUGACUGUACAAAGGUAGCAUAAUCAUUAGUCUUUUGAUUGAAGGCUUGUAUGAAGGGUUGAACAGAAUAUUAACUUUUUCAAUUACACGAAAUUUUAAUUUAUAAUUUAUGUUAAAAUGCAUAACUGUUUGAAAGGGACGAUAAGACCCUGUAGAAUUUAAAAAUGUUGGCGAUAAAAAAGAUUUUUUUGUUGGGGUGACAGUAAAUAAACUUUUACUUAAUUUUCAUUUUUUGUGAUUGAAGGAUCCUUAUAAUUAAGAUAAAAAGAUAAAAUUACCUUAGGGAUAACAGCAUAAUUUUUUUUGAAAGAUCUUAUUAAUAAAAAAGAUUAUGACCUCGAUGUUGAAUUAAAAUUAAGUUCAGACCGGCGUGAGCCAGGUUGGUUUCUAUCUUUUUAAUUGAUUUGUAGUUUAGUACGAAAGGACCAAUUACAUUAAUUUUUAUUAUUGGGGUUGAAUACAAGUAAACUUAAUUGAAGCAUUAA
rnacentral:rRNA from 1 species